rnacentral:ncRNA from 1 species
UUAAAAGUUUGGUCCUAGCUUUAACCUCAACUAUAAUUAAUAUUACACAUGCAAGUUUCCACACACCAGUGAUUACGCCCUAAUAACCACAAAAGGAGCUGAUAUCCGGCACAACAAUCGUUAGCCUAACAUCUAGAUUUACCACACCCACAAGGGCCUGCAGCAGUGAUUAACAUUGAACAUAAGUCUAGCUUGACUCAGACAUAAUUAUAAGAGUUGGCCUAUCUUGUGCCAGCCGCCGCGGUUAUACAAGAAACUCAAGUUGAUAUAAACGGUGUAAAGUGUGAAAAAAAGAAUAGAUUACCCAAUUUAAGACUUAAAACAUAACCAAGUCGUCAUACACUAGUUAAUAAUAAAUCCAUAAUACGAAAGAAAUCUUAAUACAAAAAUAACUCUAUUUCACGACAGCUAAGACACAAACUGGGAUUAGAUACCCCACUAUGCCUAGCUACUAAACUUGAACAUUUACAUAAACACUCCACCAGAGUACUACGAGCCACAGCUUAAAACUCAAAGGACUUGGCGGUGCCCCAAAUCCACCCAGAGGAGCCUGUUCUAUAAUCGAUAACCCACGCUAAACCUCACCCCCUUUUGCCUAUCAGCUUAUAUACCACCGUCACCAGUUUACCCUGUGAAAGAAUUAAAGUAAACGAAAUUGUCUACUCAAAUACGUCAGGUCAAGGUGUAGCACAUAAGGCGGGAAGAAAUGGGCUACAUUUUCUUAAAAAGAAUAUUUACGAAUUAUUUAUGAAAACCCAUCUGAAGGAGGAUUUGAUAGUAAGAGUAGACAAUGUAUGCUACCCUUAAACUGGCCCUGGGGCGCGCACACACCGCCCGUCACCCUCAUUAUUUAAACCAUACAAAUAAAUAAAUCACCUAACAUUAUACUCAAAUGAGGAAAGUCGUAACAUGGUAAGCGCACUGGAAAGUGCUCUUGGAUUAU